UAUGACCAACAUUGCAAGGAAAUCCUAUGAGGUUAUUGGUGUCUUGGAUCCUCAACAAAUACUUUGUCUGAAACCUGGGGCUUGAAUGGUUGAAGUUGUAUACUUACUGCUUCUGAUGAAAAAGACACAUCACUUUGUCGUUUUGUUGUUUGUUUGUUUUGCUUUUUAAGGCUGCACUCACUAGGUUCCUAGGCUAGGGUCAAAAUGGAGCUACAGCUGCUAACCUAUACCACAGCCACAGCAAUUCAGGAUCUGAGCCGAGUCUGCAGCCUACACCACAGCUCAAGGCAAUGCCAGAUCCCUAACCCACUGAGCGAGGUCAAGGAUUGAACCCACACUCUCAUGGUUCCUAGUCAGAUUCGUUUCCACUGCGCCAUGAUGGGAACUCCAGAAGAGACACAUCACUUUGAUCUAAGCCUCCUCAACCCGCUCCUAACUCCACUGCUCCCUGCCUUUGCCUGGCUUUAGUCAUUAGGGAAUAUGUUUCUUAUUUUUUGACUCUGCUAAGUGAACCUUGGUAUUUCUGUUUCAUAAUGUGUGGUUUAGGGGUUAUUCUAUACAAAUAUUAUAUCAGGAGUAAGACUCCUUUCUCUUUCUUAAGGGAAUAAAAGAAGUAUCUUCAUGUGACUUUUUUUUUAAGGGCCACACCCACAGCACGUGGAAGUUCCCAGGUUAGGGGUUGAAUUGGAGCUACAGCUGCUGGCCUAUGCCACAGCCACAGCAACACCAGAUCUGAGCCAUGUCUGUGACCUACACCACAGUUCACAGCAAUGCAGUAUCCUUAACCCACUGAGUGAAGCCAGGGAUUGAGCCUACAUCCUCAUGGAUCCUAGUAAGGUUCUUAAUCUACUGAGACACAAUUGGAACUCCUUUAUGGGACAUUUUAAUUAUCUUAUUAUUACCAAGAAAACACAUAGUUUCUGGUAUCAGGCUGUACAGGAUCAGAUCCUAGCUCUUUAACUUAAUGAGAUGAAAAAUAGCUUUGCUCUGUGUUAGUGUUUUCAUCCAUAAAAUGGACAUAACAGUGGUAAAUGCCAUUUGGCCUGCAUUGAAAAUUAUGAGACUGACACACUGCCUACUGUGCUAAGGAGGCAGAUAUGCUUUGAUAAAUUAGUACUUCAUGUAGGGGACAAGAACAGUGAAUGAUACAUAAAAAGUGCUCAAUAAACAUUAGCUAUUAUCAUGCAUUAAAAUGUUUUAGAGGGUUUUUUUUUUGUCUCAAUGAAUCAAUGUGACCCAGUGAACACAUGCGUAUAUAUGUUGUUCGAAGGCUGCACUGAUCACAAAAUUACAUUAAAAAUGAAUCUGGGGUUCCUACCUUGGUACAGUGGGUUAAGAAUCUAACUUCAGCAGCUUGUGUUGCCACAGGGGUGUGGUUUCCAUCCCUGGCCAGGCACAGUGGGUUAAAGGAUCCAGCAUUGCCACAGCUGCAGCGUAGAUUCAAUCUCUGCCUGGGAACUUCCUUAUGCCUUGGGUGCAACCAUUAAAAAAAAAAAAAAAAAAAUCUUCCCUUCUCAGGAGCAACCAUGCUUGAGUGUUGAAAGUAGUGUUUGCUGCCACACUUUAGGAUGGUCAUUGAAAAAUUAGAAUGUUUCUACAGGGAACAUGGUAUAGUGUGCUGUGGGACAAUGAACAGCUUUCAGGUCAGGAGUGAAAAAUGUUUGAAAUAGAAGGGUUGAACUGGACAAGAGGGUAGUACUUAGUGGCGGGUAUAAUAAUGCCCUUUGGUGGAACCAGGACCAAUAGAUGGAGACUAGUAUGAAGGAAGGAAAUAUUUAUUUAGUACCUAUGAUGUGUUAAGCAUAUGCUUUCACACGUCAUUUAAUUUUUAUUAAUAUCUCAUAAAAUAAGAACUGUUGGCCUCAUCUUAAUAUAAGGGAAACUGGAGUUAAGGAAUGUCACCUGCUCAGGUCAGUUGGAGAAGCUAGGAUUUCAACGAAGGUUCCUUGGACUGUAAAUUCCAGGUUUUUUCCACUGCGUGCCUUUAUAUAAGUUGGAGCUGUCCAACAAGAGCUAGGCUACCUAGAUGUCUUGACAUGUAUACAAAAUGCUGCUGUGGGUAAUUUCUUCUCCUCUUGAUUCGAGUUCUUAAUACAUGACAAAAAGACAUUUCAAUCUCAAUGUUCUUUUAAGUUUCAUUUCAUCUUCUACAUUGACUUUUGUCUUUUUCAAUUUUGAGGUCUUCAUUUUUUUGGGAAAUCUGUCAAGUUGCCAUUGAGCUUCACUAGGAUGUCUGUAUUAAUUUCACCACAGGGCAAAUUUCAAGAUACAACAGUUCACCAAGGGUUUUGCCUUUUUAGACAUUGACUUCACAGAUGAAAUGAAGCAUUUAAAGAUGGUUUUGGCCACUAAAACAACUGUAUUAUAUUGGUGGAAUCCUCCAGUCUCAUAGCUGUGGAACAGACUAUAAAAUAUGCCCAGAGUGAAACUAGCUUUUCUAAGUAGCCUCUUCUGUAUUUGCUUCCUUGUUAACUGAAGCCACACCUUGCCAGAACACCAGGGGCUAUCCCCUGUGUUUUGACUUCAGAUUUCUCAUUUGUGUGGUGAAGAAGCCAAGUUAAAUAUACUUGAAAAUUCAUCCCCAUAUCAGUGUUUGUCAUCUGAGGAUUAAACCAAAAUGAACUUGUUAUAUGUUUCUCUCCUUCCUUGCUUUCAUUUUUUUUCUUUUGUUCUUUUAUUUAUUUAUUUGGUAAAUGAGACCUUAAAUGCAAAGCUUUAAUUUUAAAAACAUUUCGAAAAGGAUAACCUCCAAGUGUAUAGUUCCUAAUACAAGUUGGCACUCUACAAAGAAAAGAGAUGAUUCUCACUAAGGAAAACAGCAAAAAAGUUACAGAUUGCAUCCACCAUCACUAAUUAGCUGUCCCAGAUGGAGGACUGCCCCACCCCAAAGCAUAAGCUGGAUGGCUUUCUACAGAUAACUGGGACAUAAAUAACUUGCUCCACUCUCUAUAAUAACCGUACCAUAUUGCCUGUCUUGUAAGAGAUGUACAGUUGGCCCAUUUUAGAAGUGGGGCAAAAGACACUUGUUUUGUAAUUAGUUUAAAUAACAAUUUUUAGCUAUAAAAAGAAUAAAUGCUAUUAUAGAAUGUUUAGUAAUAUAAAAGACACAAAUAAGAAAAUAAAUCAUCUGCAGCU
rnacentral:lncRNA from 1 species